rnacentral:rRNA from 1 species
CCCUUAGAUGUUCUGGGCUGCACGCGCGCUACACUGAAGCGUUCAACGAGUAUUUCACCUUGCCCGGGAGGGUUGGGUAAUCUUUUUAAAACGCUUCGUGAUGGGGAUAGAUUAUUGCAAUUAUUAAUCUUCAACGAGGAAUUCCUAGUAAGCGCGAGUCAUCAGCUUGCGCUGACUUACGUCCCUGCCCCUUGUACACACCGCCCGUCGCUGCCCGGAACUGAGCCGUUUCGAGAAAGCCGGGGACUGACGGCUUGUGGGUGCGCAAGCGCUUCUUGCCGAUGGAAACCAGUUUAAUCGGUAUGGCUUGAACCGGGCAAAAGUCGUAACA